rnacentral:rRNA from 1 species
UUAAAUUGAAGAGUUUGAUCAUGGCUCAGAUUGAACGCUGGCGGCAGGCCUAACACAUGCAAGUCGAACGGUAACAGGAAGCAGCUUGCUGCUUUGCUGACGAGUGGCGGACGGGUGAGUAAUGUCUGGGAAACUGCCUGAUGGAGGGGGAUAACUACUGGAAACGGUAGCUAAUACCGCAUAACGUCGCAAGACCAAAGAGGGGGACCUUCGGGC